AUUGAACGCUGGCGGCAGGCCUAACACAUGCAAGUCGAACGAGCGGCGGACGGGUGAGUAAUGCAUGGGGAUCUGCCUGAUGGCGGGGGAUAACUACGGGCAACUGUAGCUAAUACCGCUUACUAUCGGAUGAGCCCAACUGGGAUUAGUUAGUUGGUGGGGUAAAGGCUCACCAAGGCGACGAACUCUAGCUGGUCUGAGAGGUUGACCAGCCAAACUGGGACUGGAACACGGCCCAGACUCCUACGGGAGGCAGCAGUGGGGAAUAUUGCGCGAUGGGAGCAAGCCUGAUACAGCCAUGCCGCGUGAAUGAAGAAGGCCUUCGGGUUGUAAAGUACUUUCGGUAGGGAGGCGUUAACAACAGAAAAAGCACCGGCUAACCCCGUGCCAGCAGCCGCGGUAAUAC
rnacentral:rRNA from 1 species